ACUCCUGUAGCCCAACCGGAAGAGGCGCUGGUCUUAGACACCAGAGGUUGUGGGUUCGACUCCCACCAGGAGUAC
rnacentral:tRNA from 1 species